UCGUACUAAGGCUGAGAUGCCUCACAUUUACAGACAUGUACAUACUUAUAUGAGUAUACGUAUAAAAGCAACACUUCAUGAAGCUUACAAUGCAAAAUCACAGCAUUAAUAUAUGUCUCACCAGUUCCAUUCUAGGAUCAUUGAUACCUAGUGUCCCAGCAUCACUUAUUAGGGCUACAUUUCACAAUCAUGUUAUCUCUUGAUAACUAUUUGUUCUUGUUGAGACUCAUUAAAUUUGUGAUAACUCAACUGAAAAUCUAAAUCACAAAAUCAGAAAAAAAAAA
rnacentral:lncRNA from 1 species